AUGUUGGUCGACAACGGUGCAGCCUCGGAAGAGGAGGAGAACAAGAAAGAGAGGGUGAGAAGAGAUCGAUCGACCCCUUCAUCAUGUGAAGCUCGCUGCUCUGGGAGGGAAAAGAGAAAGUGCGCCAGCGUCUCAUUAUUGGCUGUAGGUGGCGACGGGCGUUGGCCGGAUCAGGUUCCGUUGUACGGCCCGGUAAUGUUUCUGAGCCGUCCCAAGCCGACCCCCGCCGCCCUCUCCGAGGAGAUCCUGCUCUCCCCAUGGCGCCGAAUCCCCGCCACCGCUGCCUCCCUCUCCUCUUCCCUCUUGCGCGUACCCCGCCGCCCACCGCCAUCGACCCUUCCACAAAACGCUCCCUUCCACAGCCAUGCCGCCGGGCGUCAAGUGUGUGCCCCGCGACCAGUUUGUAUUGAAGCAAGGAGGUGGCGACGGCUCGGGAUGCCACCAACGAAGAAGCAAGCGCAGGUCGGACAACUUGGAGGAGGGGUAGAAUCGGAGAACUCCAUCGACGAGAAGGAGGAGAAGGAGCUGAGCCGGAAUUUGGUUCAGAUGUUGCUUUGGUCAAUAGAAUUUUUCAGGAGGGUGGUGCUUAAUCGCAUGGCAUUUGCUGGUGCAGUUGAUCAUCUCUUUUUUUUUCUAAUUAUUGGCAGGUGCAAUGCAGCCAGUGAGUUGCUUUCAGCCUCUGUUGUUGUUGUUGUUGUUGUUGUUGUUGUUGUUGUUGUUGUUGUUGUUGUUGUUGGCUGGAGGCUUAAAGCUUUGAAGCUUGCAAAAGGACAAGCAGCUUGUGAAGGUAGAAACUUCGAGGAGGUAGUUGAAGAGAGAUGGGGCUCAUUGGGCCAAAUAGCCGCAUCAAUAUCAACAUACAGAGUUGCCUCUUCUUAUGCUCAUUUGAAGUCCAUUAGGGGUAGAAAAGCUGGACAAGCAGACAACUCCGAGAAAUCAUUCGAAGUUGAUUGGAAGGAGGAUCGGCAAGUGAGCACUCUAAAGCUAAAUGCAAAACAGUUAGCUGCGAAGGUUCUGCAGCUCCGAAUGAAAGGCAAGCACGAAGAAGCUGACCAACUGUCGCAUGAGCCUGCAACAAGAAAAGUUGAUAAGAAUGGUUGGGAGGAGAUUCACAACUUCAAGAAGUGCCUCCUGAAGAUGUUCGCGCGGCAGGACAAUAUUGUGGUUUUCAUGGAGACUGUCAUAAGCUUGGUCAAGCAACAGAGACAUGGCAUGAUUGAAUGCAUCCCUGUCCCAUGCAAAGUCUGA
rnacentral:rRNA from 1 species